GCCGAUAUGGCUCAGUCGGUAGAGCACUCCCUUGGUAAGGGAGAGGUCACCAGUUCGAAUCUGGUUAUCGGCACCA
rnacentral:tRNA from 5 species